CCUACGGGAGGCAGCAGUGGGGAAUAUUGCACAAUGGGCGAAAGCCUGAUGCAGCAACGCCGCGUGAGCGAUGAAGGCCUUCGGGUCGUAAAGCCCUGUCCGCAAGGAAGAUAAUGACGGUACUUGAGACGGAAUCCCCGGCAAACUACGUUCCAGCAGCCGCGGUAAUACGUCGGGGGCGAGCGUUAUCCGGAAUUACUGGGCGUAAGGGGUGAGUAGGUGGUUUCUUAAGUCAGAGGUAAAAGGCUACGGCUCAACCGUGGUAAGCCUUUGAAACUGGGGAACUUGAGUGGAGGAGAGGAGAGUGGAAUUCGUAGUGUAGCGGUGAAAUGCGUAGAUAUUAGGAGGAACACCAGUUGCGAAGGCGGCACUCUGGACUGUAACUGACACUGAGGCACGAAAGCGUGGGGAGCAAACAGGAUUAGAUACCCUAGUAGUC
rnacentral:rRNA from 1 species